UACGUAGGGUGCAAGCGUUGUCCGGAAUUAUUGGGCGUAAAGAGCUCGUAGGCGGUCUGUCGCGUCGGCUGCGAAAUCCCGAGGCUCAACCUCGGGUCUGCAGUCGAUACGGGCAAACUAGAGUAUUGCAGGGGAGACUGGAAUUCCUGGUGUAGCGGUGAAAUGCGCAGAGAUCCGGAAGAACACCGGUGGCGAAGGCGGUCUGCUGGGCAGUUGCUGACACUGAGGCGCGACAGCGUGGGGAGCAAACAGG
rnacentral:rRNA from 1 species